AAUCCUGGAUGGAACGACCGCGACCGUAAA
rnacentral:misc_RNA from 1 species